GUCACAGCUGUUAGAAAGCAUUUUUUGUUUAGUCUUCUUUUUUGCCCCCACAAUUCCCAAUUCCCUCCACUCUCCUACGUGCUGUGUCAAACAGGGUCCAGAGUGACAGUCACAGAACAAAAGAAAACCAAAAAAA